AGCGAACGCUGGCGGCAGGCUUAACACAUGCAAGUCGAGCGGGCAUCCUUGUGGUGUCAGCGGCAGACGGGUGAGUAACGCGUGGGAACGUGCCCUUCGGUUCGGAAUAACUCAGGGAAACUUGAGCUAAUACCGGAUACGUGCGAGAGCAGAAAGGUUUAUCUGCCGAAGGAUCGGCCCGCGUCUGAUUAGCUAGUUGGUGAGGUUACGGCUCACCAAGGCGACGAUCAGUAGCUGGUCGGAGAGGAUGAUCAGCCGCGCUGGGACUGAGACACGGCCCCGACUCCUACGCAAGGCAGCAGUGGGGAAUAUUGUACGAUGGGGGCAACCCUGAUCCAGCCAUGCCGCGUGAGUGAGGACGGCCUUAGGGUUGUAAAGCUCUCUUCUCCGGGACGAUAAUGACGGUACCGGAGGAAUAAGCCCCGGCUAACUUCGUG
rnacentral:rRNA from 1 species